ACUCACCCUACACCCUCCAGAGCCUAGACACCCACACCCCUUCCCCACCACAGCCCAACUGUGGGGAUCACCCCCCAAUGCCCCUUCCUCCUACAAAGCACUGCCACCAGGACUCCUACCUGCACCCCAUAUCCCCAAGAGCCCAUCCACAGGGCCUCCCUCAGCCCAGUCACCCACACCUCCUAACCCCCAGGGAUCCACAGGGAGAAAGAGCCUGAUGCAGUGUCCUGGGUUUGUACUAAGUUUCAUGCAUGCUGCUUCCUUCCUUCCUUCAGGGCAUGCGAGGAACUGCAGCUCCCAGGAACCCUCCAGCUGUGUUUUCUAUUUGUGAUCUGGGUCCAGCAGCCCCUAGUGGCGGCCAGCAGUUCUGUAGCCCUUUUCAGUGGGAGAGAAAAGAAAAUUCUGCAUCCACAAUAUUAAUUUCUGUACCAAUUUGGUAUGCGCAGUGGCACAGAAUUUCCCCAGGAGUAACAUUUGCAACAUUAUCUCCCCAACAUUGCAGAUAUUCUGAAAUGGGAAUGGAGGCAGCCCUUAACACUGAAGCCAGACGACCUAUUAACUAGUCAACUGCUGAUUGUAACAGAAACAUCCAGCUAGUGGGCUUGUUCAUAAUUUUGGGGUGUGGCCAGAUGUUUCUAUGAAAGAAGUCAGAGUCAGGCAUAUGAAUUCCAGCUUCAGAGUUUUAGUCACUUCUGACCCAGUCAACAAGGAAUCCAUUCCCUCCCCCAGUAUCAAAAACUUCCUAGGUACCAAAAAGCUAAACUGCUUCCCCACUUUCCUAAAUACCAAAAGAGCAAGCUAUCCAAAUCCAGCUUUCCCUAAUAGCCAUGAUGCAGGUUUGUGCACCAGAUUUUUUUUCCUUGUAGUUAAACAUGGUAAAAAGAUGGGGGCUGCUUCAAAUAAGCUGACUAAACCAGGAAUACUGGAUUGUUUCCACACUUGAAUUAAAAAGCUUCCAUUAAAAAAAAAAUUUGGAAACUGUCAGAUAUUUCAGUUUUCUACAUUGGAGUGUUAAAAGAGAGCAAGGAGUCUUGCCAUAGGAUUUAGGUCCAGCCUGCCAGAGAGUACCCAGGAUUUUAUAAUAUUAAAAGCCAGAUCCUUAGCUGUUAGAAUUCAGUGCAGCUCUGCUGCUGGUUGAGAAGUGCCAAUUUUUCCAUAGGAUUGUGUGCGCCUUUACAGGGAACUUUGGGGGAGAAACAUUUUUCCUAUGAAAGCCAUAACCAGGGACUACUCGAUUUUCAUAAACUUUUUUUGGCUCCCAAAAACUAGGAGUUUUUUAAACAAACGAACAUUCAGUUUUUCAAUUAAAUCAGGAAGAUUUGACCAAAUUGGAGGCUUUUCCAUGAAAGUUUUAGUCAAAAAGCUGCAUUUUUGGGGAAAAAGUUGACCAAUUCUAUGUGGCUCCAUUGAACGCUAUGAAACAACUCAGGUUUACAUUAGCUGAGGAUCCAGCAUUAUAUUUAAAUUAUACCUCAGGAUGCCCAUCUGUAAAACAGGGAUACUGGGGUUUGCCCAUACUUGGAAAGUGCUUUGAGAGCUACAAAUGAAAAGAGUGAAGAAUUAUGGGUUGACAAUCUACAGUAUAUUUAGGUGCCACUGAGAUGCAUAGUCAGACUGCUGGAAUUCUAGCCUUUAAACAAACAUGAUGCUAUUAGAAUUAAGAUCAGGUGGCACAGGAACAGAAGCAGCCAGCAGUGGAAAGCAAUGGGGUUUGAUACGAGAUUGCAGGGAGAGAGAAGGCUUGGCACACUGGAAAGAUGUCAUUCCAGGCCAAAGGAGAGCAAUGUGAAGAGAGGCAUGAAUGUCAGAGUUGAAGAUGAAGGAAGCAACAAUGAAAGGAGACAGCCCCAAAAGAUGAAAGUUCAGAACCAAAGAGUGGAAGAUGAGACAAGAGUGGAACCUUAGCAAAGAUAAGGAGUCUGAUUUUUAAGCAAAGAGGAAUGAGAGGCCAAAAGGGGGAGGCUUAACUGCUAAAAAGUGGCAAGAGGAUUAUUUUAGUUGCUAGGUGAUGUCAAGGUAGGAGGAGAAAGUUACAGGAGAAGAGCAGUUUACUGUAGCCCCUGUAAGAGUUCAUGCUAUGCCAUUAAUCAGCAUUUUAACCAGUGAGAACCCAUGGGAAGUGUUAGGAAGUGACUAGAUUUACUGAGAAGGAAAGAAUAACUCCAGCAUAACAAGACUGACAGAAGACAGUGGAGUUAUUGAUGAAGUGAGGAGGCAAGCUAGUUUAGGAGGGAAAGUACAGUUCAGCUUUUGUUGGGUUUAAUUUAGGGAAUUAACAGGACAUCCAGAAGGCUAUGCAAGCAUAGACAUGGGGAAGAAGUCUGAAGCAGGUUGAGGGUAGACAGUGUAGGCUCAAGACUAUGGGAGCUGAUUAGGUCAUUGAAGGGGCACAGUGAUGUACAAGAUGAUCAGUGACAGGAGAACACGAGAGGGGAGAGCAGAGAACAUGCCAAAAAGGACAAGUCAGAAAGGAGGAGAGUUAGGAAAAAAACAGUCAAGAAACCAAAAUAAGGCAGCCUCAAGUCCCUUGAGUCUGCAAGGAAGAAGCUGUUUGUGGAAACAGUUUCAGUACAGAUUGUAACGGCUUCGAGCAGGAGACAGUCUCAGCCCAUCUACAAGAUGUAAGAGAAUUUGUAAGCUGUCAGAAUGCCAAAGGAGAGACCGUACAUCCAUACCCACAUCAAUGUAUUGCAAUGAGUCAGUGCUAGGAAGAAGUUCUAUUAUAGAACUGAGCCUUACUUAACGUAUCUCAUUAAGGAAUACUAUAAAAUUACAGCACUGCUUGUGAUUACUGUAGUACAGGCUAAUUCAGCAGACCUUUAUUUUUUCCUGUUUACUUUAAGCAAUUUACUUCUGACUUUCAGUUUAAUAGCUGACACCUCCAAAUAAGACUGCUGCAAUUUGUAACUAAUAGAGCAUUGGUUCCAUAAAGUUGGUGGUUACUUUCAGGGUAUACAAUUAAAUAGCCCUAGAGACUACUAUUUAAAGAGUAAUCUUAUCACUAUCACAGACAGUGAAGAGAGGCCAGUGAUUUCCAUGGGAAAUAUUUUUUAUUGCACUGCUACUACUGUACAGAGCAAGGUGGAUACAGCUUUGAGGCACGUAAAAUGGAUUCAAAGACAUUGUAAUUUUAAAGACUGAUUUACCCCACAGCUGGAUAUAUACAAUACUCAAGAAAUUGUAACAAUGCAGGUAAACAUGCAAGUGAUAAAUAUGAAUGAUUUUCUGAAGGCCCAGUUGUGAAUCUUUACCUGUUGACCAGUUGCCUAUUGGAAUAAAGCAGUACAAAUUCUAUUUCUACCUGAAGUCUUUGUUUCCAUGUGUAUGUUGAAUCUUUUACUAAAGAAGCCUUUAUUUCCAGAACUGCCUUUGUUAUGCUAGGACUCAAAGUUAACACACUGGUGGAGUAUUAUGUUACAAGUUACCAUUUCAGUUCCCUGUUAAAUACAAAAUAAUCACGUGGAGACACAGGCCACCAGGCAAUUCACUAGGAGAAACAAUAUUAGUUGUGCAACUUCUCACUGCUAAGUAUCUUUCACUUGAUGCUCAAAUAGAAUGUCAGGAUUUCCCUUUUCUCCACCCUCAGAGAAAGCUUCAAAUAUUACAACCUUUUAUAGAUGCAAGUAACAUAGGAUUUACCCGUCCAGAUUGGGUGCACUACAUUCAAUAUCCUGCCUCUGACAGAGAGCAGGUUUUUUAAGCGAGAAAAAAAAUAGUGUUUAGCGCUUACUGAAACUGAAAUGUUUGUUGAAACAUGUUUUCAGUUGUUACAGUGUAUGCCAGAGGUAGUCAAUUUUUUUUUGGUCACGGUCCAGACUCCAGACAGUCAAGGGUCGGACUCCGGAGAAAAUAAUAAUAAGUAAAUAAAAAGAUUCCAGGGUCUUUUCAAAAGCAUCUUGAGAUCUGGAUCAUGCAUCUGUUCCCAAAGAAAAGUGCCCAGAUUGCUGCCUGCAGGAGUUAAUGAUUUACUCUGGUGCUGCAGUUUCAUUAUUAAGGGUUGUUCCAUGAUUCUAGAGUUCUGCCUGGUACACAGAGACCUCAAGCCAGCAGAUUAGUUUUUAAGAGAGCUAGAGUUCAUGUCAUGUAGUUUUGUUUAUCUUGAAUUCACAUAGUCUGUGCAGCUGGGGUUUCAUGCUUUUUAUGGGGGAGGAAGGGGAUUAGCCACCAGAAUCCACCUCAACUCAAAACUCACAUUGUAAUUGGUUUCACUACAUUAUGACAGUCUUGUUACAGGUGUCACUUAAGGUCUUUAUGCUAUGGAAAGAGGCACUAUUUCAGAGUAGUGUAGCUAAACAUUGCCAGAAUACUAUGACCUUGCAAUGGUUCAGCAUGCCAUAGCCAUAAGCCAAGUCUGUGUGCCAAUGAAAGCACUGCCCACACAAUACUUGCCACAACACAACCUGUGUAAGUUGGUGCCUGUCCUAUAACUUCUGUACAGCUCUCUGGAGCUGGUGGAGAAUUGGCAGUAUGUUAUUUGGAUCUGUUAACAUUUGCUUUCCACCAUGCAAGAGCUGUGUAUGGAGAUACUAUGGCUUGAGCAUAGCAGGAAGUUGCCGCCACCUUCUGCCAGACAGACUGUGGGCCCUGGGCAUAUCGCCAAGUGGUGUGGUGCUUAUUGGUAGAACAGUGCUCCAAGGAGCUGGGGGGGAGGAGAAGAGGAAACACACGAAGGACAGCAGGAAACAACAACGGUAGAGCCACGUCAACUGCCUUCGGACUCAAAAAGAACAGUGAGUGGGAGGGAGAGACCAACUGCACUGGUGCAGCUGUAACACCUGUUCCAGUCCACACUGGUGUUACAGUGAAUGCAGUGGGCCAAUGCAGGUGCAAGCUUUGUUAAGACUUGCCCUGAGAUGUAACAAUGAUACCCGGACCCUAUUUGUGUUGCAUUAGGACAGACAAGUAUUUUGCAGUCAUUGCAGUUGCCUGAAGCAGCAGCGGCAACAUCUUUUUUCUCUCUGCUGUAGAUGAGCCUAAAGAGUCAGAGCAAGUUUUAAAAAACCCCACUAUGAAAGACUCCCCUUAUUCCAGGAGGACAAGAGAAUUCGCUGCAGCACCCAGCCUGGUCAGGCUUCCCUCCUGAGAAAGGAUGAGUAACUGUGAAAUCCUAAGUGGUGUACUGAUGCUAAUAGGUAUUUGGUCUUCCAAACUCAAUUUAAAGUGAUACAGGAUAUAUUAAAUGUGAAUAGAAUAUUGAAUGUAGGGUUUUCUUUGCUAUAUUUGUCACAGUCAUGUUAGAUAAAGAUGCCAAUAAUUAGCAGUCUAUAUUAGACUUCCACCAUGAGUUAAUUGAUAGCCAGUUUGUAAAGGCUAGUGUAAAUACUCUCCAAAAGUGUUUUACCCUAAGAUAACCAAACUAUUAGCCACAAGGUAAAAAAAGCAGAAAGGGCUACAUCAUACUCCAUAUAGAGCUAAAGAAAUGUAUUCUUGCCACAGAGGCAGGGCAGAAUUCAUGCGGAAUAGCAACAUGCAGUGCAAGUUUUACAAAGGAUUCCAUUUUUAAUUUUGACUUGUGAUUUUCAAGAAUGUUAGUGUAAUAAAUGUUUCAGAUCAGUUAUGGGGGAAUAUUUAUGUAGAUGCUUAGCUCUCAAGUUCACUAUAAAGACAAGGUCAAAGUCUGCUACAAUGUUUACUCACUCAAUGUUUCCAGCUUAAAUAAAACAAGAAAAAGGCCAUUUAGCAGCUGCCUGUGUGGUUUGACAAGCCAUUGUGAAGUUACAUCAAGUUUCAUUUGGUAUCAGAAACUUGAGUUUCGAUUCAAGAGUUUACACCAGGAUUCUCUCUCUAAAAGAGCAGAAAAAUAAUGAAAAAUGUUUGUCCGGUUGAUAGCCCACAAUAACAUUUUUUCUUUGGGAUAGGGUGGGGGAAUACCCUCAGACUCAGGGCUGAUAGCGAACUCAACAGAAAAGUGUCCUCAGAAAAACAGAUAACAGAAGAGGUGCAGACCAAACUGGUUCAGUGAACCAUCUUCACAUUCUAAUCUAAACAAAACAAUCUGGUGCAUCUUCAGCCUUCGUACAGAAAUUAUGCAUGCCUUCCCACACAAUAUAUUUGCAGUUCACUUCCCAUGUAAGUACUCUUUUUAAGAUGGCUGUUUAGAAAAGGCCAUCUGACCAAACUAGAAAUGAACUGAAUUUUAAUACCCUUAAUUAUUUUUCUUUUACUUGAUGAAAACGCAGAUUGCUAUGCCCAAGCCUGAAUGCCAAAGAUUGUCUGUUUCUUAUGGAUUACAGAUUGUGGAAUAAGAAAAGGAGGAGUCGAGUGAAGUGAGCUGUAGCUCACGAAAGCUUAUGCUCAAAUAAAUUUGUUAGUCUCCAAGGUGCCACAAGUCCUCCUUUUCUUUUUGCGGACACAGACUAACAUUACUCUGAAACAGAUUGUGGAAUGUUUCAGCUGCAAAUGUGAUAUGUUCUAGGAUCAAAGGGAAGGAGUGCUACUACACUUGUUACAUUUUCAUUAAAAGGUAGGCUGUCAGUACUACGUUAUUCAUUGCCAAUGAACGGUAUAAAAGCUGAGCAAAGGAGAAAAAAAAAUAAAAAUACAAUCAUCCUCAGCUUGUGAUCCACACCACAACCAAGGCUAUUUCAACUAUAGACAUGCCUCCAAGGUACUAAGCAAAAGCAUAAAAAAAUGCAUGGUAUAAAAAUCAUGUUUGGCACACUGAAGUCUCCUCAAAAUGAAUAAAAGAGUAGUUUGAAAUACAUGUACAAAUCAGUAUAAAGAUGGUGCAAUGAAGCAUUCAGAUAGGUUUUAAAAGUGGUACUAAGCUUUGUGGUCUUAUGGUUGGCAGUGGACUCUUUUACAUGCUUAAGCAGAAUUGGUCACGACACCGAUCUCUGAAUCUACUGAUCAUUUAAAAAUAAUUAUAUGCGACCCGGUAGGAAAAAAUACACAUGACAGUAGUUAAAAUUAAAAUAGCUACUGGAAAAGUGUGCAUCUUUAGUACCAGAAACAGCCAUAAUCCCAUCAAAAUCUGGGCAUAUAGUUUAGCUGAAAAAAAAUGCUAGUUGCCUCUCUAGCAAGGUAACUUUUCUACAGUUUUAUGCAUUGUGUCUUUUCAGGGUACAUCUAUGCAGCAUUUUUCAGCAAGCCUCCCAGCCCAGUGUGACAUUGCAUGGAAUAUAGGUGACCAUUUAUAAUAUUAUUGCUAUCAGUAUUACAAAAUUUCAAUGAAUCUUACAAGAUAUGCCAUGUAAGGCAUCAGUGGAAAAGUUAUGAUUGGCUAAAUAUGAUAUUCAUAACUCACAAUACAUACAUAAACCUGAUUAUGUGUGGUAUAUUUAUAUAUCAAACUUAUGCUGUGUUUCUGGGUGAUGCUCCCAGACAGAGUCACAUCAGCAGUAUCUAGCCUGCUUAAUAGCCGAUGAAAGAAUCAGGUGUAUAAUGAGCCCAUUGAAAAAAGGCAGGGUUACACCUAUGAGUCAGCAGGACAACAUGUAGGGACAUGUCUAUAGACAGACUCCAAAUGCUUUUCCAUGCCCAUGUGCUAUGAGUUUGUGUUUGGGACAAUGUAUAAGGCAAAUGGCAAGGAUAUAAAAAACAGGCAGCUGCAACUUCUCCAUUGUGUGUUCUAUCCUGCUUCUCACCUCUGGAGUAACUUCUCUACAAACUGAAGCUUUAACAAAGGACUGACAGACCCAUCCAUGUGGAUGUGUUUCAAAGAGUCAGCAAACUCACUGGUGCUGCUAACAACUCUGAUGUCAUAUGUAUGUAUUUGACUGCUUUGCAGGGUGGAUAAAAAUCAAUGAUUUA